rnacentral:misc_RNA from 1 species
GUGAAUCAUCAAAUUUUUGAACGCAAAUUGCACUCUCCUCGGAGAGUAUGCCUGUUUGAGGGUCAGCCUAUAAAAAAUCGACAUCGUUGCUGUUUCGCGGUUGCGUUUGUCGGAAAUUGGGUCAUUUUAACUCUUUUGGUUUUAAGCGACUUCGAAUUCUCUUUUUGGUUCCUUGAACGUUUCUAAGAUUUAUUUCUUUACACGUUUAAGAUAUCGAAUUUUAUUAGACGUGGCCGUCAUAUCGGAGCGUGUCCAU